rnacentral:lncRNA from 1 species
CAGCUCAGAAUCAGAAGAGGAUGGGGUUGUUUGCUUCUGCAUAGGCAAUGAGGAAGUCAACUGUAUUCGAGGUAAAAUUGCAGCUCUCUCUGCUCCAUUAAAAUCAAUGUUGUAUGGUAAUUUCAUUGAAUCUGAUGAGCAAAGAAUUGAUUUUACACACGUUGGUAUAUCCGUGGACGGAAUGAGAGCUGUAGAUUUAUUUACUAGGACUAGAAGAUUAGAUUCUGUCUGAUAUGCAAAGAAUUGAUUUUACACACGUUGGUAUAUCUGCGGACGGAAUGAGAGCUGUAGAUUUCUUUACUAGGACUAGAAGAUUAGAUUCUUGCUCACCCAAUAUACUUCUGGAGCUUCUUUCAUUUGC